UACGUAGGGUGCAAGCGUUGUCCGGAAUUAUUGGGCGUAAAGAGCUCGUAGGUGGCGGGUCACGUCGGGUGUGAAAGCCCGGGGCUUAACCCCGGGUCUGCAUUCGAUACGGGUCUGCUGGGGUCCGGCAGGGGAGACUGGAAUUCCUGGUGUAGCGGUGAAAUGCGCAGAGUAUCAGGAGGAACACCGGUGGCGAAGGCGGGUCUCUGGGCCGGUACCGACGCUGAGGAGCGAAAGCGUGGGGAGCGAACAGG
rnacentral:rRNA from 1 species